rnacentral:rRNA from 1 species
GCUAGCGGCGGAUGGGUGAGUAACACGUGGGCAAUCUGCCCUAAAGACUGGGAUACCACUUGGAAACAGGUGCUAAUACCGGAUAACAACAUGAAUCGCAUGAUUCAAGUUUGAAAGGCGGCGCAAGCUGUCACUUUAGGAUGAGCCCGCGGCGCAUUAGCUAGUUGGUGGGGUAAAGGCCUACCAAGGCAAUGAUGCGUAGCCGAGUUGAGAGACUGAUCGGCCACAUUGGGACUGAGACACGGCCCAAACUCCUACGGGAGGCAGCAGUAGGGAAUCUUCCACAAUGGACGCAAGUCUGAUGGAGCAACGCCGCGUGAGUGAAGAAGGUCUUCGGAUCGUAAAGCUCUGUUGUUGGUGAAGAAGGAUAGAGGCAGUAACUGGUCUUUAUUUGACGGUAAUCAACCAGAAAGUCACGGCUAACUACGUGCCAGCAGCCGCGGUAAUACGUAGGUGGCAAGCGUUGUCCGGAUUUAUUGGGCGUAAAGCGAGCGCAGGCGGAAUGAUAAGUCUGAUGUGAAAGCCCACGGCUCAACCGUGGAACUGCAUCGGAAACUGUCAUUCUUGAGUGCAGAAGAGGAGAGUGGAACUCCAUGUGUAGCGGUGGAAUGCGUAAAUAUAUGGAAGAACACCAGUGGCGAAGGCGGCUCUCUGGUCUGCAACUGACGCUGAGGCUCGAAAGCAUGCGUAGCGAACAGGAUUAGAUACCCUGGUAGUCCAUGCCGUAAACGAUGAGCGCUAGGUGUUGGGGACUUUCCGGUCCUCAUUGCCGCAGCAAACGCAUUAAGC